AACGCACAUUGCGCCCGCUGGUAUUCCAGCGGGCAUGCCUGUUCGAGCGUCAUUUCAACCCUCAAAUACCUCUGUAUUUGGUGUUGGGGCAUAGCCUGGUAGCAAAGGGCUAGCCCUCAAAUUCAGUGGCGUGCUCACUAAGACUCCGAGCGUAGUAAUUUUUUUUCUUUCUUCUCGCUUAGGCCUAUUAGUGAUGCGUAGCCGUUAAGCCCGCCGUCGCGCACCUUUUGAAAAGUUGACCUCGGAUCAGGUAGGAAUACCCGCUGAACUUAA
rnacentral:misc_RNA from 1 species